UACAGAGGGUGCAAGCGUUAAUCGGAAUUACUGGGCGUAAAGGGCUUGUAGGCGGUCAUAUAAGUUGGAUGUGAAAACCCCGGGCUCAACCUGGGACGUGCAUUCAAUACUGUAUGGCUAGAGUAUGGUAGAGGAAAGGGGAAUUUCCGGUGUAGCAGUGAAAUGCGUAGAUAUCGGAAGGAACAUCAGUGGCGAAGGCGCCUUUCUGGACUAAUACUGACGCUGAGGAGCGAAGGCGUGGGGAGCAAACAGG
rnacentral:rRNA from 1 species